rnacentral:rRNA from 1 species
GACGAACGCUGGCGGCGUGCUUAACACAUGCAAGUCGAACGGAAAGGCCCUGCUUUUGUGGGGUGCUCGAGUGGCGAACGGGUGAGUAACACGUGAGUAACCUGCCUUUGACUUUGGGAUAACUUAAGGAAACUGGGGCAAAUACCGGAUAGGAGCUCCUGCUGCAUGGUGGGGGUUGGAAAGUUUCGGCGGUUGGGGAUGGACUCGCGGCUUAUCAGCUUGUUGGUGGGGUAGUGGCUUACCAAGGCUUUGACGGGUAGCCGGCCUGAGAGGGUGACCGGCCACAUUGGGACUGAGAUACGGCCCAGACUCCUACGGGAGGCAGCAGUGGGGAAUAUUGCACAAUGGGCGGAAGCCUGAUGCAGCAACGCCGCGUGCGGGAUGACGGCCUUCGGGUUGUAAACCGCUUUCGCCUGUGACGAAGCGUGAGUGACGGUAAUGGGUAAAGAAGCACCGGCUAACUACGUG